GUGAACGCUGGCGGUAGGCCUAACCCCUGCAAGUCGCACGGCAGCACAGUAAGAGCUUGCUCUUGCGGGUGGCGAGUGGCGGACGGGUGAGGAAUACAUCGGAAUCUACUUUUUCGUGGGGGAUAACGUAGGGAAACUUACGCUAAUACCGCAUACGACCUACGGGUGAAAGCAGGGGAUCUUCGGACCUUGCGCGAUUGAAUGAGCCGAUGUCGGAUUAGCUAGUUGGCGGGGUAAAGGCCCACCAAGGCGAUGAUCCGUAGCUGGUCUGAGAGGAUGAUCAGCCACACUGGAACUGAGACACGGUCCAGACUCCUACGGGAGGCAGCAGUGGGGAAUAUUGGACAAUGGGCGCAAGCCUGAUCCAGCCAUACCGCGUGGGUGAAGAAGGCCUUCGGGUUGUAAAGCCCUUUUGUUGGGAAAGAAAAGCAGCAGGUUAAUACCCCGCUGUUCUGACGGUACCCAAAGAAUAAGCACCGGCUAACUUCGUG
rnacentral:rRNA from 1 species